CCUACGGGGGGCAGCAGUGAGGAAUAUUGGUCAAUGGCCGGAAGGCUGAACCAGCCAUGCCGCGUGAAGGUCAGUGCCCUAAGGGCGUUAAACUUCUUUUGUGCGGGAGCAAUAAUGGUCACGUGUGGCCAGACGAGAGUACCGUACGAAUAAGCAUCGGCUAACUCCGGGCCAGCAACCGCGGGAAUACGGGGGAUGCAAGCGUUAUCCGGAAUUUAUGGGUUUAAAGGGUGCGUAGGCUGGUAGGUAAGUCAACGGUGAAAUGCCCCCGCUCAAAGGGGUGAAGUGCCAUUGAUACUGCCUGGCUGGAAUGCGGAUGCCGUGGGAGGAAUGUGUGGUGUAGCGGUGAAAUGCAUAGAUAUCACACAGAACACCGAUUGCGAAGGCAUCUCACGAAUCCGCGAUUGACGCUGAUGCACGAAAGCGUGGGUAUCAAACAGGAUUAGAUACCCGUGUAGUC
rnacentral:rRNA from 1 species